AAAGAAACCAACAGGGAUUGCCCUAGUAACGGCGAGUGAAGCGGCAACAGCUCAAAUUUGAAAUCUGGCCCUCGGGUCCGAGUUGUAAUUUGUAGAGGAUGCUUUUGGUGAGGUGCCUUCCGAGUUCCCUGGAACGGGACGCCAUAGAGGGUGAGAGCCCCGUCUGGUUGGACACCGAACCUCUGUAAAGCUCCUUCGACGAGUCGAGUAGUUUGGGAAUGCUGCUCUAAAUGGGAGGUAUAUGUCUUCUAAAGCUAAAUACCGGCCAGAGACCGAUAGCGCACAAGUAGAGUGAUCGAAAGAUGAAAAGCACUUUGAAAAGAGAGUUAAAAAGUACGUGAAAUUGUUGAAAGGGAAGCGCUUAUGACCAGACUUGGGCUUGGUUGAUCAUCCUGGGUUCUCCCUGGUGCACUCUUCCAGUUCAGGCCAGCAUCAGUUCGCUGCGGGGGAUAAAAGCUUUAGGAAUGUGGCUCCUUCGGGAGUGUUAUAGCCUAUUGCAUAAUACCCUGCUCCGGACUGAGGUUCGCGCAUCUGCAAGGAUGCUGGCGUAAUGGUCAUCAGCGACCCGUCUUGAAACACGGACCAAGGAGUCGUCUUCGUAUGCGAGUGUUCGGGUGUUAAACCCCUACGCGUAAUGAAAGUGAACGCAGGUGAGAGCUUCGGCGCAUCAUCGACCGAUCCUGAUGUUCUCGGAUGGAUUUGAGUAAGAGCAUACGGGGCCGGACCCGAAAGAAGGUGAACUAUGCCUGUAUAGGGUGAAGCCAGAGGAAACUCUGGUGGAGGCUCGCAGCGGUUCUGACGUGCAAAUCGAUCGUCAAAUAUGGGCAUGGGGGCGAAAGACUAAUCGAACCUUCUAGUAGCUGGUUUCCGCCGAAGUUUCCCUCAGGA
rnacentral:rRNA from 3 species